rnacentral:rRNA from 1 species
CAGCGCCACAAGUGGUGGCCGUGUAUUUGGCCUAAAGCGUCCGUAGCUGGUUAGAUAAAUUUCCUGUGAAAUCGUUAGGCUUAACCUAACGGCGUGCAGGGAAGACUGUUUGACUUGGGGCCGGGAGGAGCUAGAGGUAUUCUGUGGGGAGCGGUAAAAUGCUAUAAUCCACAGAGGACCACCGAUGGCGAAGGCAUCUAGCUAGAACGGAUCCGACAGUGAGGGACGAAAGCCAGGGGAGCAAAACGGAUUAGAUACCCGAGUAGUCC